UACGAAGGGGGCUAGCGUUGCUCGGAAUCACUGGGCGUAAAGCGCGCGUAGGCGGGAGGCCAAGUCUGUGGUGAAAUCGCUCGGCUUAACUGGGCGGGGUCCAUGGAAACUGGUCACCUGGAGGUCGGUAGAGGCAAGUGGAAUUCCCGGUGUAGUGGUGAAAUGCGUAGAGAUCGGGAGGAACACCAGUGGCGAAGGCGGCUUGCUGGGCCGGACCUGACGCUGAUGCGCGAAGGCGUGGGGAGCGAACGGG
rnacentral:rRNA from 1 species